AUUGAACGCUGGCGGAAUGCUUUACACAUGCAAGUCGAACGGCAGCACGGGGGCAACCCUGGUGGCGCGUGGCGAACGGGUGAGUAAUACAUCGGAACGUGCCCGGUCGUGGGGGCUAACGUAGCUACAGUUACGCUAAUACCGCAUACGAUCUGAGGGUGAAAGCGGGGGACCUUCGGGCCUCGCGCGAUCGGAGCGGCCGAUGACAGAUUUGAUAGUUGGUAGGGUAAAGGCGUACCAAGCCGACGAUCUGUAGCUGGUCUGAGAGGCCGACCAGCCACACUGGAACUGAGACACGGCCCAGACUCCUACGGGAGGCAGCAGUGGGGAAUUUUGGACAAUGGGCGCAAGCCUGAUCCAGCCAUGCCGCGUGCAGGACGAAGGCCUUCGGGUUGUAAACUGCUGUUGUAUGGAACGAAAAGGCGCUGGCUAAUACCUGGGGCUCAUGACGGUACCGUAAGAAUAAGCACCGGCUAACUACGUG
rnacentral:rRNA from 1 species